AACAUCUCCAUGGGUCGCUUCUUUGAAGUUUAACUUCUGAUCCUUCUGCCUUGUCGGUGGUUGCCCACUGUUCUUGCCAUUGACGACCGUUGAACUCUGUUUGUCCUGACUUGAGUGUGGUGUUGUGAGUCAUCAGGGAGAUAUAAUAUGCUGAUUGCCAAACAGACACAGUGAGGAGCGGUGCUCUUUUUCAAGAUCCCCCAUCUGGUAAAUAACAGGACAUGGAUUUCACUUCACACCUUUGUGACUCCAGA